rnacentral:lncRNA from 13 species
UAAAGGUCUUUUUAAAAACGAUUUUAAUAAUUCCAACCUGGAUUUCCUUUUCAGAAAUACUAUUUUCAUGGCUCUGGCUAUGAACAUCAGCAUAUAGAGGAUGGAUCACUACCAAAGAAGGCACCCAAAUGUGUCCGUCUCAUCCUGAGGAAACCCACUCAUCUGUACAUGUACUCAGCAAGUGUUUGCUGGCACCUGCUCUGAGUCACAGGGUGUGCUGGGUACUGGAUGCUCAGAGAUGUGGAAGGAGGCUGGACUUUCAAGGAUCAUCCAGAAGGAUGAAGUGCUAUUUCCUCGAUGGCACCUUCACUGCUACUGACACUUUCAAGAAUAUGAGUGUCUAUGCAGCAGAAACAGACACCCUGAGAUGCUGGAUUUGGGAUAAGUCAUUGGGUUUUAUCAACAUAUGUGAACACACAGAUUUUCAGCUAAUAUUAGAAGUUGAGAUGAAACCGAUUAAUGUGACUCCUAGGCAGGCUCCAGCAUAACUCCUAAAAGAAGUGCAAGCAUCCUAUUGGAAUACACACCCAAGCCCUCCUCUUUUUUCCCUUGAGUUCUCUUUUGAGGUUAAUAAAACUUGAUGUAUGGGGCGAGAUUGAGUGUCC